rnacentral:rRNA from 1 species
CACGUAGGGGGCAAGCGUUGUCCGGAUUUAUUGGGCGUAAAGAGCUCGUAGGUGGUUCGGUAAGUCGGGUGUUAAACCCCCAGGCUCAACCUGGGGACGCCACUCGAUACUGCUGUGACUAGAGUCCGGUAGGGGAGCGUGGAAUUCCUGGUGUAGCGGUGAAAUGCGCAGAUAUCAGGAGGAACACCAGCGGUCGAAGGCGGCGCGCUGGAUCUCUACUGACGCUGAGGCGCGAAAGCCAGGGGAGCAAACGGG